rnacentral:rRNA from 1 species
UACAGAGGUCCCAAGCGUUGUUCGGAUUCACUGGGCGUAAAGGGUGCGUAGGUGGCCAGGUAAGUUCGGUGUGAAAGCUCGGAGCUCAACCGAAUCGAUCAUUGAAUACUAUCUGGCUGGAGGGUCGGAGGGGAGACUGGAAUUCUCGGUGUAGCAGUGAAAUGCGUAGAUAUCGAGAGGAACACCAGUGGCGAAGGCGAGUCUCUGGACGACUCCUGACACUGAGGCACGAAAGCUAGGGGAGCAAACAGG